rnacentral:rRNA from 1 species
AAUUCGCCCUUAGAGUUUGAUCCUGGCUCAGGACGAACGCUGGCGGCGUGCUUAACACAUGCAAGUCGAACGGAGUGCCUCGGAAAGAGAUUUCGGUCAAUGGAAGAGGUUACUUAGUGGCGGACGGGUGAGUAACGCGUGAGGAACCUGCCUUUCAGAGGGGGACAACAGUUGGAAACGACUGCUAAUACCGCAUAACAUAUGUUUGUCGCAUGGCAGAUAUAUCAAAGAUUUAUCGCUGAGAGAUGGCCUCGCGUCUGAUUAGCUGGUUGGUAGGGUAACGGCCUACCAAGGCGACGAUCAGUAGCCGGACUGAGAGGUUGGCCGGCCACAUUGGGACUGAGAUACGGCCCAGACUCCUACGGGAGGCAGCAGUGGGGAAUAUUGGGCAAUGGGCGCAAGCCUGACCCAGCAACGCCGCGUGAAGGAAGAAGGCUUUCGGGUUGUAAACUUCUUUUAAGGGGGAAGAGCAGAAGACGGCACCCCUUGAAUAAGCCACGGCUAACUACGUGCCAGCAGCCCCGGUAAUACGUAGGUGGCAAGCGUUGUCCCGGGAUUUACUGGGGUGUAAAAGAGAGUGCAGCCGGCGAGACAAGUCUGAUGUUAAAUCCUCGGGCUCAACCCGUGAACUGCAUUUGAAACUGUUUCCCUUGAGUGUCGGAGAGGUAAUCGGAAUUCCUUGUGUAGCGGUGAAAUGCGUAGAUAUAAGGAAGAACACCAGUGGCGAAGGCGGAUUACUGGACGAUAACUGACGGUGAGGCGCGAAAGCGUGGGGAGCAAACAAAAGGAGAUACCCUGGUAGUCCCCGCUGUAAACGAUGGAUACUAGGUGUGCGGGGACUGACCCCCUGCGUGCCGGAGUUAACACAAUAGGGUAACGCACCUGGGGGAGUACGAUCGCAAGGUUGAAACUCCAAGGAAUGACGAGGGGCCCGCACAAGCGGUGGAUUAUGUGGUUUAAUUCGAAGCAACGCGAAGAACCUUACCAGGGCUUGACAUCCUGCUAACGAAGUAGAGAUACAUUAGGUGCCCUUCGGGGAAAGCAGAGACAGGUGGUGCAUGGUUGUCGUCAGCUCGCGUCGUGAGAUGUUAGGUUAAGUCCUGCAACGAGCGCAACCCUUGUCCCAUGUUGCCAGCAUUGAGUUGGGGACUCAUGGGAGACUGCCGGCGUCAAGCCGGAGGAAGGUGGGGAUGACGUCAAGUCAUCAUGCCCCUUAUGCCCUGGGCUGCACACGUGCUACAAUGGCCGGCACAGCGGGCCGCGACUGCGCGAGCAGGAGCGAAUCCCCCAAAGCCGGUCCCAGUUCGGAUCGCAGGCUGCAACCCGCCUGCGUGAAGCCGGAGUUGCUAGUAAUCGCGGAUCAGCAUGCCGCGGUGAAUACGUUCCCGGGCCUUGUACACACCGCCCGUCA